UCCCAGUGUUGAUCUCAUACAUGGAACUGUAGGUUGCAAAUAAUUCUCUCCAGAGUUCUGUAGGUACCUGGUGAUCCUGUCAAUUGGCACUUGAGGCUGGGUAGGGAAGGGACAAGUAAGUGUCCCACUGCUACAUUCAAGAGAGCUAACGCCUCUCAACCAACCAUCCCGGAAAGCAGUGUGUUUCUAUUUACAGCGUAAAGUCCUCAGAACGAGCAAUGCCAGAAGACUCCUCAGAAACACAGUUCCCACAACUAUGAAAUACAGCUGAAAUCACCUGUGCUCUGAGAAGCUGUGAUGAAGUGGAACCAAGCGGAUGGAGAGCACUGCUUGAACGGGAAGUGAGAUUAACUCUCCCUCACACUGCAAGUGCCCAAACAUUUACGAUUUCCACUCAUCCAAGUCUGUCUCCAGGUGUUCCUUCAACCUGAAUCAUCUGGAUUAAGGACCAGAAUAGAAACAGACUCAAAAGAUAAUUCUAUAAUCUGGCAGUUUCUAGAAGACAUGAGGCACACAAGGCCAGCACUGCCUGAGCAUGGCAUGGAAUAGGAACAGGACACGUGGCACUGGAGCAGAUCUGAUGAAGGCCAGAGAAAUCUGCGACCGGAUGUGGAAUUAAGAGUGGGAGCCCUGGCUGCCAAGGACUGAGCAGCCCUGGGGAGAGGAGACUGCACAGUUUAACACUAGGUUCUAGACAAAA